CGAACUCUUCGGAGUGAGUGGCGCACGGGUGAGUAACGCGUGGGAAUAUGCCUCUUGGUACGGAACAACAGUUGGAAACGACUGCUAAUACCGUAUAAUAUCUAAGGAUCAAAGAUUUAUCGCCAAGAGAUUAGCCCGCGUCUGAUUAGGUAGUUGGUGAGGUAAGAGCUCACCAAGCCGACGAUCAGUAGAUGGUCUGAGAGGAUGAUCAUCCACACUGGUACUGAGACACGGACCAGACUCCUACGGGAGGCAGCAGUGAGGAAUAUUGCGCAAUGGAGGAAACUCUGACGCAGCCAUGCCGCGUGAGUGAAGAAGGCCUUAGGGUUGUAAAGCUCUUUCAGAUGUGAGGAUAAUGACAGUAGCAUCAGAAGAAGCCCCGGCUAAAUUCGUGCCAGCAGCCGCGGUAAUACGAAUGGGGCAAGCGUUGUUCGGAAUCACUGGGCGUAAAGCGUAUGUAGGCGGUUUUCCAAGUCAGGAGUGAAAUCCCAGGGCUCAACCCUGGAACUGCUCUUGAAACUGGAUCACUAGAGUCCCGGAGAGGUUGGCGGAAUUCCGAGUGUAGAGGUGAAAUUCGCAGAUAUUCGGAGGAACACCAGUGGCGAAGGCGG
rnacentral:rRNA from 1 species